AUAAUCUUUAGAUAAUCUAUUAUUUAAACCUUAAAUAUGAACACAUACAUUAGAACAACCAUGAUUUCACAAACACAUAAGCAAAAGUUCCAUCCUUAGUAAAUAGUAACAAACAUAAAAGAUUACCUACUACUUGAAGCAUAUAUAUUCAGAUGUGCAUUCAGGAACAAUGAAUAUCAUUGAAAUUACAUCUACGAAGAUAACCAUACAAAGUGACAGUCAAAAGGCACUACUUGUUUAUGACUUGGUUGCUGAAACAUCUUCUGCUAGUAGUAGCUAUUAUAACUGCAUGACUAACAUACCAUAGAUAAGAAUAUAUAAAUAAGUGAUUCAACUCCCUCAUACAUCUUUGUCCAAAUUCUAUGCUUUGAUUGUUACUUGGUCUUUAUAAAUGCCAUGCUUGAACUGGUUGAGCUGGGUAAGGAAAACUGACAAAGAAGUAGCAUAAUCAUCCGUCAGGGAAAUGAUAUGAUAAAGACAAAAUUUAGCCCCUAAAUAAAUUAAAUUUCUAAUAAUCAAGAUACUGAACAUGCACAAAUGUAAUCAAUAAAAAACACAUCAUUACAACAUAACACAUCAAGGUUUUGAUUGGAAUAAAAUUAAUUUGAAACAAACAAUUAAAUAAAUAGCUUGGAAAAAAAGAAAAAUAAAGACAACAUACAUUAUAAAAGAACUCUUUCUACUGGCAUGUUAGAAUCAAUUGAAGCAUGUGGAUAACCACAACUUAAAUUUAAAGAAAUAUAUAAAACUAAACACAAUAUAGAUACACUCAACACUGGCUAUUUCAAGAAAGACAAACAUAAAUAUAUAGGGAACGGUCUGUUGAGGGAUCGAACGAAUUAAAAGAGGUAGUUCAUAGCCAUUACCGAUUUAAGUGAUGGAAGAGGAGCUUAGUCUUCCGCAACCAUGGCAAGUAAAUUUUGCUCUUAGUUCUGCUUGGUAGUUUCAAUCCGCAAAAAAAAAAAAAAAAAAAAAAAAAAAGAAAAAAAAAAAAAAUCAAAAGUAGUCAUCACACCAGUACGUUCAUAGUACAUUAUAUAUGUUAAGAGAUAGCAUAUAUGUGAAUGCAAUUGACAUUCCAUUUAUAAAUACACAUGAAUCCUAUCAUCCUCAUGCAUUUCAUGUAUUGAACUAAAAGUAGAACAAACCAAACUAUCAAGCACUAACCAAGUGGCCAAGUGAAUUAGUCCCUACCAAAUAUGCGAAGAUGGUAAAUCAAUCCACCAUUUCCACUUUCAGAUAAAACAUGUACAUGAAAUACAAACUUAAAGUAUAUUUCGAGAAAAUUAUAUGAAAAAUUGUUAGGUGAAGAGCAAUAACAAAGAACAGGAAAAGAUAGCUGAUUCAAUAUCUAGCUACAUGGAACUCUAUUUCACGGUAUGAAUACAUAGGUAAUAAUACCAACAUUGAUGUUCCUAAAUGGACCUCCAUGCCAAUCAUAUGUUCAAACGAUAAUAAUAGUAUAAUACAAGAACAACCAUAUUUUUAAUGUAUAACAUAUGAGCUAUAAACCAGAUUAACAUUUGACACAAUUUUUUAUUUUUUAACAAAUUGGAUUAAAUUGAUAACAAAAUAAAGGUGACCAAUCUAAUCAAAGACAAAGAGCCUGGCCUGAAUUAUGUUAUAACCUUCAUCACUUGAAUGAAAGUGAAUGCUCCAUUCACACUCUGUGAAGUGAAGAGUUGUGAACAUGGUUCAUAGAACUAUUCCAAACUAAGCAAUGGAUAUCUAAAGAGCUUUAAAAUUGCCAUUGAUAGACGAAUAUCUAAAGAGCUUUAAAACUGGCCAAAAAGGUUUUAGAUCAAUCAAAUACAACAAUAUAAUACACUUGACUGAUUAUUAGUACAAAAAAGAAAAGGAGAUCAUUGUCAAAAAGACCAUUGGCAUCUUUCUAAUUUUCUUCUUUUGGCGGGUGGGAGGAGAGAUCACAAUAAAAGUGAAGCUUGACCUGCUCGCUUUUGCUUCGAAGAAUCAAAGAAUAGUAUCAAUAAAUAAAAAAUGGUGACAAAUGUUCCUUUCCCACAAUGAACACUUCUCGCAUGAACUUGUGAGUUCAUAAAAAAAAUUUAAUUAUUGAAAUUUUACAUAGUAGAAGUUCUAUAAUGUCUAUUAUGGAGAUUUGUUGUUAAUUUUAAGAGGAAAUUUGUGUCGGUGCUCCUUUCUUUUUCCUCAAAUGAAUACUCAAGCAUCUUUAAAGUUUCUACAAAAUGAGAAAUAGAAAAGAAUACGAAAUGAGAAAAAUAUCAAAUGAUUGUUUUUGUACUUGUCUUUAAUUAAAAUAAGGCAGUUGAAUAAUGAUGAUCGGAGAUGAUGAGUUUUUAAGUUCAACACAAAGUUAACACAAUUCAAAUUCUUUUUUCUGUUUUCAGUAGUCAUUAGUCUUGUAAACACAGAAUAGGGCAAAAUAGUAGAACUAUUAAUUUUCAAAGGAAGUGAAUUUUCAACCAAAUAGAACUUUAUAAUCUAAUAGGCAUUAUAUGAGCAGUAAAAGGAAAAGUUUUUAAUUCAAAAUUACUCAUUUUUAUACAAAGAUUUUUACGUUCAGCUAAGUUUGUUCGCUAUCAACAUGAUCUUGCUGAAAAAAUAUGGAGAAGCAACUCCCUGACGUGAGCAUAUUUCUCUCAAGGGAUAAAUCACAUCAUUCGGCUAGCAAAGCUAUGUUAAAUUUAACAUAUUUAUAAGAAAUCAAUUUAAAAAGUGAGUCAUUCAAAAUUUGAAUUCACAAUUAAAAAAAAUACUCUAUAUACUAUAGCUUAUAUGCUUCCACCACCAAGAGAAAUAAAACACAAAGCAAAUCAACAUAGGAUUAUAUAGAUUGCAAAAAGUCUUUCAAAACUCCACAUAAUUAGUCAAGUGGACCUUCCUAGAAUGUAGAAUAUUGUCUUAUGCAUAACUAAAGAUAUAUUAGUUAAUUCAACACCUGUUCUAUUGCUGGAAACCAAAAAGGGAACCAGAAGAUCUCGUUUGGUUUAGUAGUUGUCUAUAAAUUGAAAAGCACAUAUUCAUUAAUUGAAAACCAUUAGAUCAAUGAAAUUCUCCGGUGGAUCAGCGAUCGAUAAUCUAAUUAUAUUAAUAAAGUGUGUUAUUCUAAAAGAAUGAGUUUAGAACAAUAUUAAGAAAGCAACGACAUGAUCUUCAAUACAAAGCUAAUCCAUCGGAAUUCGGUAAAAAGAAAAUUGGAAUCAAAAUUCAAUAAGUUUUUGAUUGUUUUUUAUCCCUAGGUUUCUUGAAGAACAAAUAGAAAACGGGAGCAGGGCAAACGCAUCCCCUAAAUAAGCAGAAGCGUGAAAAAAAAUAUACAAAGGAAAAAAAGAUAAUAUCCCUGACCAUGAGAUCUCAUCUCUGCACAAAAUCAACAGGUAUAAUUUUAUCCCUAAGAAUUGAGCGAAAAUAUAGGAUCAACACUGUUUUAACUUUCUCAAAUUUGUGCAUUGUGCGACAUAUAUGAUCGUACUGAGAAAAUUAGAUCAAAACAACCCCAAUUAUCUCCCAUAAAGCGCUCAUGACAAAGACAGUGAAGAAGCAGGUGAACUAAAAAUGAAAAAUACUCUAAAAAGAAUAUUACCUCUCUAUAUUCAAUCAUAAUGCUUGUUCCCAGAGAUUCAACCUUUAAAAACAGCAAAUAUAUGGUAAAAGACCACCAUUAUCGCCGGCAAAAAACUCCAAGUUCUGCCCUAAACUCUUAUACCUCACACCAACUCUCUAAUUACAAAAAAAAUCGGAUAGAAAAAUAAAGCCCUUAUAGAAAUUAAUGGAAAAAGAAUCAGAUUUGGGAAAAAUUUGAGAAAGGAACAGACCUGAAAGUUGCAACACCCAACUGAGAAGAUGAAGAGAAAUGGAAAAAAAAUAUUACUC
rnacentral:lncRNA from 1 species